rnacentral:rRNA from 1 species
UACGUAGGGCGCAAGCGUUGUCCGGAAUUAUUGGGCGUAAAGAGCUCGUAGGCGGUUUGUCGCGUCUGCCGUGAAAGUCCGGGGCUCAACUCCGGAUCUGCGGUGGGUACGGGCAGACUAGAGUGAUGUAGGGGAGACUGGAAUUCCUGGUGUAGCGGUGAAAUGCGCAGAUAUCAGGAGGAACACCGAUGGCGAAGGCAGGUCUCUGGGCCGUAACUGACGCUGAGGAGCGAAAGCAUGGGGAGCGAACAGG